rnacentral:rRNA from 1 species
GACGAACGCUGGCGGCGUGCUUAACACAUGCAAGUCGAACGGUGAAGCGCCUUCCUUUUUGGUGGGUGUGGAUGAGUGGCGAACGGGUGAGUAACACGUGAGUAACCUGCCCCCUUCUUCUGGAUAACCGCAUGAAAGUGUGGCUAAUACGGGAUAUUCUGUGUCUGUCGCAUGAUGGGUCUGGGAAAGAUAUUGUUUCGGUGGGGGAUGGGCUCGCGGCCUAUCAGCUUGUUGGUGGGGUGAUGGCCUACCAAGGCGGUGACGGGUAGCCGGCCUGAGAGGGUGGACGGUCACACUGGGACUGAGACACGGCCCAGACUCCUACGGGAGGCAGCAGGGGGGAUUAUUGCACAAUGGGCGGAAGGCUGAUGCAGCGACGCCGCGUGAGGGAUGGAGGCCUUCGGGUUGUGAACCUCUUUCGCCAGUGAAGCAGGCCUGCCUCGUUUGUGGGUGGGUUGACGGUAGCUGGAUAAGAAGCGCCGGCUAACUACGUG